UCUCUCAAAACAAAUGUUUUGGAUUUUGGGUCAUUGCUGGCUGGUUGGAGUCAGCUCUCCUUAAAAGUAUAUAUAUAUGAACAGCCUUCUCCAUUCAUUUGGUAUGAUAAUUUAUCUAUGCCAAGGGAAGUAAAAGGAAGGCUUGUCCUGUAGAAGUUGGUCAAA
rnacentral:misc_RNA from 1 species